rnacentral:rRNA from 2 species
AGCUACACAUGCAGUCGAACGGCAGCACAGGAGAGCUUGCUCUCUGGGUGGCGAGUGGCGGACGGGUGAGGAAUACAUCGGAAUCUACUUUUUCGUGGGGGAUAACGUAGGGAAACUUACGCUAAUACCGCAUACGACCUACGGGUGAAAGCAGGGGAUCUUCGGACCUUGCGCGAUUGAAUGAGCCGAUGUCGGAUUAGCUAGUUGGCGGGGUAAAGGCCCACCAAGGCGACGAUCCGUAGCUGGUCUGAGAGGAUGAUCAGCCACACUGGAACUGAGACACGGUCCAGACUCCUACGGGAGGCAGCAGUGGGGAAUAUUGGACAAUGGGCGCAAGCCUGAUCCAGCCAUACCGCGUGGGUGAAGAAGGCCUUCGGGUUGUAAAGCCCUUUUGUUGGGAAAGAAAUCCAGCUGGCUAAUACCCGGUUGGGAUGACGGUACCCAAAGAAUAAGCACCGGCUAACUUCGUGCCAGCAGCCGCGGUAAUACGAAGGGUGCAAGCGUUACUCGGAAUUACUGGGCGUAAAGCGUGCGUAGGUGGUCGUUUAAGUCCGUUGUGAAAGCCCUGGGCUCAACCUGGGAACUGCAGUGGAUACUGGGCGACUAGAGUGUGGUAGAGGGUAGCGGAAUUCCUGGUGUAGCAGUGAAAUGCGUAGAGAUCAGGAGGAACAUCCAUGGCGAAGGCAGCUACCUGGACCAACACUGACACUGAGGCACGAAAGCGUGGGGGAGCAAACAGGAUUAGAUACCCUGGUAGUCCACGCCCUAAACGAUGCGAACUGGAUGUUGGGUGCAAUUUGGCACGCAGUAUCGAAGCUAACGCGUUAAGUUCGCCGCCUGGGGAGUACGGUCGCAAGACUGAAACUCAAGGAAUUGACGGGGGCCCGCACAAGCGGUGGAAGUU